AAUGAACGUUGGCGGCGUGGAUUAGGCAUGCAAGUCGCGCGAUAAAUGUAGCAAUACAUGGAAAGCGGCGAAAGGGACAGUAACGUGUGGGAACCUACCUUGGGGUCUGGGAUAGCGGCGGGAAACUGCCGGUAAUACCAGAUGACAUCCCCGGAUCAAAGGUGUGAUUCCGCCCUGAGAUGGGCCCACAUGCUAUUAGUUAGUUGGCGGGGUAAUGGCCCACCAAGACUAAGAUGGCUAGCGGGUGUGAGAGCACGACCCGCGUCACUGGGACUGAGACACUGCCCAGACACCUACGGGAGGCUG
rnacentral:rRNA from 1 species